rnacentral:snRNA from 1 species
UGCUGGCUUCAGCUGCACUAUUAUACUACAAUUGGAAUGAUACAGGGAAGAUUAGCAUGGCCCCUGAGCAAAGAUCACAUGCAAAUUUGUGAAGCAUUCAAUAUCUGU